rnacentral:misc_RNA from 1 species
GAAAUGCGAUAACUAAUGUGAAUUGCAGAUUUCAGUGAAUCAUCGAGUCUUUGAACGCAAGUGGCACUGUGGGGCAUGCCUCGCAGUAUACCUGUUCGAGCGUCGCUACAUUACUCAACAUCCAAACAGCAAUGUUUGGAUCGUUGGCGGAUGUCUGUUGAGUCGUCAUCUCGGUGGCUCAUCAGUGAUUAAAGUGAUUCCCUGGUGCCAAUGAAUUUCUUGGCAAAGCAUUUCAAUGUGGUAAGUGACUUGUUCACAAACAUACAUUGAAGAUGCGUUGCACCACAUCAAGAUUUUCGGCAAGCACUGUAGGGUCCCCCUUUCAUUUCAUAUGAAACCCAAAAAUUUCAUACACACGACCUCGAAUCAGGCAAGGCUACCCGCUGAAUUUAA